AGUGAACGCUGGCGGUAGGCCUAACACAUGCAAGUCGAACGGCAGCACAGUAAGAGCUUGCUCUUACGGGUGGCGAGUGGCGGACGGGUGAGGAAUGCAUCGGAAUCUACUUUUUCGUGGGGGAUAACGUAGGGAAACUUACGCUAAUACCGCAUACGACCUACGGGUGAAAGCAGGGGAUCUUCAGACCUUGCGCGAUUGAAUGAGCCGAUGUCGGAUUAGCUAGUUGGCGGGGUAAAGGCCCACCAAGGCGACGAUCCGUAGCUGGUCUGAGAGGAUGAUCAGCCACACUGGAACUGAGACACGGUCCAGACUCCUACGGGAGGCAGCAGUGGGGAAUAUUGGACAAUGGGCGCAAGCCUGAUCCAGCCAUACCGCGUGGGUGAAGAAGGCCUUCGGGUUGUAAAGCCCUUUUGUUGGGAAAGAAAAGCAGCAGGUUAAUACCCCGCUGUUCUGACGGUACCCAAAGAAUAAGCACCGGCUAACUUCGUG
rnacentral:rRNA from 1 species